AAUAGAUACCCUGGUAGUCCACGCCGUAAACGAUGAGUGCUAAGUGUUGGGGGUUUCCGCCCCUCAGUGCUGCAGCUAACGCAUUAAGCACUCCGCCUGGGGAGUACGGUCGCAAGACUGAAACUCAAAGGAAUUGACGGGGGCCCGCACAAGCGGUGGAGCAUGUGGUUUAAUUCGAAGCAACGCGAAGAACCUUACCAGGUCUUGACAUCCCGGUGACCACUAUGGAGACAUAGUUUCCCCUUCGGGGGCAACGGUGACAGGUGGUGCAUGGUUGUCGUCAGCUCGUGUCGUGAGAUGUUGGGUUAAGUCCCGCAACGAGCGCAACCCUUAUUCUUAGUUGCCAUCAUUCAGUUGGGCACUCUAAGGAGACUGCCGGUGAUAAACCGGAGGAAGGUGGGGAUGACGUCAAAUCAUCAUGCUCCUUAUGACCUGGGCUACACACGUGCUACAAUGGACGGUACAAACGGUUGCCAACCCGCGAGGGGGAGCUAAUCCGAUAAAACCGUUCUCAGUUCGGAUUGUAGGCUGCAACUCGCCUAC
rnacentral:rRNA from 1 species